rnacentral:lncRNA from 1 species
CUCUGGUGACUAUCGGGGGGAACCACAGAGGCCUGCUUUGUGAAAGAUGACCAUUGUCUGGAAAUCCCUUCAUCAGCCAGCUCAAGAGGGGUAUGCGGGUCACCAAGAAGCAUAAUGAAGACAAUUUCCUCGUGUGUCCUUCAAAGAGAAGCAGACACAUCAUGAGUGUUUUGCAUCUUCAAAAGGAGGAGUGAUGGGUUUCUGGGAAGCAUCAAUUGUUCCAUCACAUUGAGGGAAACCACAACUACUGCUGGUGUUGUG